UACGUAGGCAGCGAGCGUUGUUCGGAAUUACUGGGCGUAAAGAGUGUGUAGGCGGUGCUCUAAGUUCGGUGUGAAAUCUCCUGGCUCAACUGGGAGGGUGCGCCGGAAACUGGAGUGCUUGAGCGUGGGAGAGGAAAGCGGAAUUCCCGGUGUAGAGGUGAAAUUCGUAGAUAUCGGGAGGAACACCGGUGGCGAAGGCGGCGACCUGGGUAGAUACUGACGCUGAGGUGCGAAAGCGUGGGGAGCAAACAGG
rnacentral:rRNA from 1 species